CACUGGCCCCAUCAGCGUCCAGCAUCACAGAGGAGUUCUCAGAAUUUGGGACAAUGAAUUCCAGUUGGAGCCACCAUUUGUGAAGGAAUCUCACCUUAUCCUCCUAUGGGAAAAAGAAAAAAAAAAAAAGUCACUAAACAGCAACCAAAGUGCCAUACUAGAUAUUAUCUGCUGACAGUAGACAUCUACUCUUACUCUCAUUUGUGUUUCCUCCAAGGGUCUGGAAGGCAGCCAGGGUUCUGGGUGAGAUUUAAAUUCUGCCAGUGAAAUGAACUUUCAUGCUAUUUGGAAGGCAGAGGAGAGGUGGAGACUGUUUUCCCACAGCUGU
rnacentral:lncRNA from 10 species